rnacentral:rRNA from 1 species
AUUGAACGCUGGCGGCAGGCCUAACACAUGCAAGUCGAGCGGAUGAAGGGAGCUUGCUCCUGGAUUCAGCGGCGGACGGGGGAGGAACGCCUAGGAAUCUGCCUGGUAGUGGGGGAUAACGUCCGGAAACGGGCGCUAAUACCGCAUACGUCCUGAGGGAGAAAGAGGGGGAUCUUCGGACCCCACGCUAUCAGAUGAGCCUAGGUCGGAUUAGAUAGUUGGUGGGGCAAAGGCCUACCAAGGCGACGAUCCGUAACUGGUCUGAGAGGAUGAUCAGUCACACUGGAACUGACACACGGUCCCGGCUCCUACGGAAGCCAACAGUCGGGAAUAUUGGACGCUGGGCGAAAGCCUGCUCCAGCCCUGCCGCGUGUGUGAAGAAGGUCUUCGGAUUGUAAAGCACUUUAAGUUGGGAGGAAGGGCAGUACGUUAAUACCUUGCUGUUUUCACGUUACCAACAGAAUGAGCACCGGCUAACUUCGUG